rfam:Medicago truncatula strain A17 chromosome 1, whole genome shotgun sequence.
AUAUAAGCAAAAUUCACCUUUUUAUGUUCAUUCAUUUAAUUAUGUAUGUGGUCCAUAUUAUGAACCACAUACAUCAUUAAACGAAUGAACCUAAAAAGUGAAUUUUGCUUAUAU